rnacentral:lncRNA from 1 species
GAGAGUCUGUUUUAAGAGGAUCUGUUUGAAGUUUAAUGUAACUGAAGUCCAUGCACCUGAAGCCAUUAAUUGAUAUAAGUGGUUACCAAGGCAUCAGGGCAGAGACUCCCUGAGGCUAUGCUAGAAGGGUACCAUUUGAAAAGGAAGUGUAUGACCCACCGUGAAAUGGAACUGGUAGCUGGUCACCCAGGUGCUCUUCCUUGUUAACUGAUGAGAGCGAUUAUUAUGUGAGAACUUUAACAACCUGCCAAAGGAUCCCGGGGCAAGAAUGAGAGCUGAACCAUUGAAAAGCUGAGCAUCGAAGUGCCUGGGAAGCCCAAAACUCAGCACAUUCAUGCUUUUGCUGGUUUUUGACCAUUGAGAAGAAAAAAGAGUCAGCAACCAGGGAGCAGGAUGAGUGGAUCUGGUUCAGAACAUCUGUGAACACAGAGGGAGUGGAAACUUCACUUUCAACAUCAUCAGCCAACUUCCCUCCCAUUACAAUUCUAUCUCAAGAUCAAGGUCAUGCAACAAAAGAUGCUAAAGAACAAUGAACAAUUACAUGUUCAAAAAG